rnacentral:lncRNA from 1 species
UAACAUUUUACAUCCAGUUGGAACAAAAUGAAAAGAAGUCCUUUAGAAAAGCAGGUCCAUAAUGCUACAAUUUCAAAAUUAGCAUACAUCACAAGCCAUGACAGUAAAACGGCAACGCCAACAUGGAAAAGCCAAGCUUUAACACAAGAACAACGUGGAAGCCAAAACGCAAUACAACAAUAAGUUACAAGCUAGCGCAAGCCAACAUAAGCGCUACUACAAAGUGAAGCUAAGCCAAGUGAAUGACGGCUCAAAAAACAGCAGUGCAAGCUGCUACGACGCCGUAAAACAAGCUUCCAAACGCGGAGAAUUCAAGCCUAAAGCUGCAGCGAAAAUAGAAAAUUAAAAGCGCCAAGAUGAAGAGCUACUAAACUCAGCUACCACAGCAAACACAAAACUCCAAGCCGGUAACAAACGCAUCACACAACAACGGUGGAAACGGCAAUAAGCUAGCAUUGGAUUAUGAAGUAAACGACAACAGAAAAAUCAAAUCACUCUAUAAAUUCUUCUUCCCGCUCUCAAAUAGUUUUCUUCCAGAUUCUUCCUCUCUUCCAAUCCUUCAACCACCUUCACCAAACUCCAAUCUCCAUAACCGUAAUCCCCGCCUUCAACCAAAACCUUCAAUCAAACCUUCAUCUCAUCACACUCAAACUCCUCUUUCUUCUUCAACCUCCCUGUAGCCGACGCCGACUCCUUAAAUCUUCACCUUCAACAACCACCUCCAAACUCUAACAACUUCACAAUCCCAAUCUUCCACUCCAUCGCAACUAUACCUCAACCGCUUCAACCACCGCGAUUCCCUCCAACCACGACCACACACAACCAUUCACAGAAAUGACGAACUCACCACAAUCGCCUACAUAAUAACAACGCAAUUUCGAAAUCUCAGAAGGUGAAGAAGAAGCUCAUAACAGCAAGAGUAAGCGGCAUUGAAGCAAAACCGAAGUUGAACGAAACUGAAGAAAUUGAGAAGAAGAGAAGCAAGAGGAGGAGAAGAAUCGAGAACUUGAAUCGGAGCCGCCACGGUCGUCUUCUCCCGUUCGCCGUCGCCACCGGCUCUUUCGUCGUCUCCGACAGGUAGGUUGCUGAUCUCCUUUUAUUUCCUUCCAUUUCGAAACUUCUCGCCGUGAUGAUCGUCGUCGCCGACCGGCGCGGCUAGGAUCUCCAUUGAGAUCUGGUGUUCUUCUCUCUUCCUCUUGUGAGCUGGUGAGCGUGAGAAGUGAGGAAGAUGAUGACUAUCCUUAAGCCCCUAAGUUCGCACCCCCUGUGUUUGGGCCAAUUCCAAUGGUCCAGGGCCCAUUUUGCAUUUUUUUGGAGUCUUUUUUUGUUGUGAUAAUUGUUAGAAUAUUAGGAUUAACUUUAGAUAAAUUUAGGAUUAGAUUGUUAAUCAAUUUGUGAAUAUUGCUUAGUUGAAUAUUUUGAAUGGUUUAGUUGAAUAUUUUAGAAUAAUAGUCUUGAUUGUUAAUUUUAGGUUUAAUUUUGAUAAUUGAUUUAGAAUGUCACUUUGAUAAUCGUUUUAAUUUUAGAAUUAAUUUUGAUUAAUUUCUAG